GAAGUACUAACCUAAAAUGAAAAUAAAGAAAAACUCUUGUCUAUGACACAUGGUUCCUGCAGAUUUUUUCCUGUUUUGCUUUGCUCCUGAAAGUGGAGGAAGCUUUUCUGUUUGCCACCCAUUGAAGUUUUCAUGGCCUAAUAAUGUGGAGACUCAAAAAAUUUGCUGACGAUAAAGAGGAGAACAAAGGAAGCACCCAGAGUAUCGCCAGAGUGCCAGCUUCUGUUCACAACCCAGCUUCCAGUUAACUGUUUGCCCAAGUGAAUUUUUAGAUACUGUCAGAGCAGUACAAUAUUGGGUGAAGAGCAUCAACAGAGAUAACUUGAGUUAUGCCACAAUGGAACAGAAGACUGUCCUCAGAGUAAUGAGCUACCAGUUGCUCUUUGGGUGCUCGGAGAAUGUGGAUAACGUAAUAGUGAAGAUUCUGACAUUGGGAGGAAAGCUGAACUGAAACACAUCAAAGGUUUAUUUUAAAUUCUUUUUUCAUUUGUCUGUUUCUGAGACAGAGUCUCACUCUGUCACCCAGUCUGG